rnacentral:misc_RNA from 1 species
AAAAAAUGCUAAAGAGGAAAAGGGUAAGAAGAAUUAAAAAAAAACUUUAUUUGGAAAGAGUUGAAUUAAUGGAAAGUAAAAAAAUGUGAUAUAUAUUUUUUAUGUUUAGGAAGAUGUGAAAAAAAGGUAAAUUAAAAGAGUGUAAAAAUAAUAAUAGUCAUAACUCUCACAUCCCAUUCUUAUAUCUUAAAUUGAGAUAUAAGAAAAAUUAAAAUUUAAGGAAUAAGAGAGGUUAAGGGUUACCGCUACUCACUUA